AAAAUUUAAUUUUUUUUUACGUUCACUUUUUGACUUUAACCUAAUUUUUUAAUGUAUAAUAGACCAAGUUUCUUACACCAAUGCCCAUCGGUUCUUACACAAAAAAAAACACAUGGUACAUAUUCAUACACACUCUCAUACACCAACUUUUCUCUUAGAAUUCACAUACACAUUUUCAUCCACAUUGUAUAUAAUUCCACACUACAAUACUCAUUGAUGUACCCGUUUUACACAUACAAGUCAUCCACCAUACUCUCUCACUCUCAUUGACAAAGAAAAAAAUAGGACAACAAAUCCUAAUCAUGUUACACGUUUUGUAUCCACCACUACAGCAUUCAACCAUACCAAUUUCCACACACUGGAAAACCUACCUCUUCACGUUUUGCUUAUGCCGUAAAAAAAGAACCAUUCGCAAUCAUAAACCAAAAACAUCAAAGUCACCAACCUAUCUCCAACCAUUAAUCUAACACCAUACCUUCACAAAAUCAUCAUUCAACAAAAAAAACACAACACUUCCAUCCCUAACAUUCCUUUAACACCACAAAAUUCACAAAAAAGAAACUCAAAACAUAAACUCCUUCAUAAACCAAGCCGAAAAUCAAUCUUUUCCUCCACCAAUCUCCAAACCUCACUCAACAAUAACACAAUCAAAAACCACCAACCUUGAAUCAUCCCAUAUCACCAUCAACAAAAUAACAACAUUAUAGUAGAACAAAAUAAAUUCACCAACGAAAGUCAAAACAACAAUAUUCCAACAACAAAAUCAUAAAAACAACUAUUGGAAAUGGAGAAGAAGGAGAAGUAAAGGCCAAUGUGACGCAACCGCUGCUACUGCCAUGUGAAAUCACUCGCCGCGCCAUCUCCUCCAUCGACCAUCCCCACCGUAGACCAUCAUCUUCGCGCCGCAAACCACCAGGGACCUUCUCACACCGGAAGACGUCGACAAAGCCACCAGUCUUCGUCGCCCUCUUUGUCUUCAAAGAUCCAUCGUGAAAUCUGCGACCGAAUCAAGAAGCUCCCUCCGUCGCCGUUCGAAGUCCGCUGGCCCACUAAUCUCCUCCGCUCCACUCGGUUAUCCUCUUUUCUUCGAUUUCUCUAAUAUGUUGGAUUACGUUUGUUCUUCAAUUUAACUUGUGAAAAAUGGAUUGUGGUUUUAUCUUGAAAGAGAAAAAGAGAAAGAUGGAUAAGAAGUAUGCGAUCAUUCUUUGCCUUGUUUUGAUACGUGGCACUUGGCCAUUGAAUGGAGGUUCUUGGUACAUGGGGCGCCGCCCUCUGAAAUACUUGUAUGAAAACAUAUAAAUUCAUAUUUUUAAAAACAUUUAAUAAGAAAUGAGAAAAUUUUAAAUUUAUUUUAAAUUAAUUCAUUUUUAAUUGGAUUAAUGAGUUAGUUGUGAUUAUUUUUAAUUGGAUUCAUAUUUUUAUUUUUUAAUUAAUAAUAAAAUUGUGAUUGAUUGUGUAUAUAAAUAUUAAGUUUGUUUUCAUCUGAGAAUUUUCCUCUUUAUUAAUUGAGUUUUUUUUAUUAAUUAAGUUAGUACAAUUAGGACUCUUAGAGACGUGGACUGGGCCUUGAGCCUUGUCCUUUUCUAAUCACCCUUCACUCAUCUCUUAGCACCCCCCUUUAGUCCUAUUUGAUUUUUAAUUCAAUUUCUAACGUAGGUAUUAAUUUAGUUUUAAUCUUAAGAUUAACUCCUAUUUUAGUCCUUUAAUUUAUCCUAAUUAGAUUAUUUCACAUUUAAAUUAGGGGUAUAAUUGUUUGUCUUAAGUUUAGUUAUUUAGUUAAAUUUAUAAAUUAAUCUCUCUAAUUUAACUUUCUUGGUUAAUAUAUUUGAAGUGUUACUCAAACUAUUGGGUUACUUGAUUCUUUAAACAAAUAAUAAUAAUAAACAAAAUAUCAAAAAUAAUAAAAUAUGUUUUAUCUGUAAAUAAUAUCACACCCCGUACAUAAACCACAACAUAUUUUCACAAUCAAACUAACUUAACAUUUUUCACACAUCAAAUCUUUUCUUUUUCGCUUCGUGUGAAAAAUCCUUCCAUCUUUGCCCCGUGCGACAAAUUAAUCAUUUUCCCCUUGUGCAUCAAAUUCAAAACCAAGGAAACCCUUUUUUCAUAAAUAAAAAUCAACCAACCAACAAACAUGCGAACUAUAUAGACUCUGACUUUCUUACCAUUCGGUGAGAAUACGUAGGCAUAAGGUUGCGAAAUCCUGGCAAGUCCUCUAACCUAAAACUAACAUUUUUUCCAUUUUAUCUUGUUGUAAUCACUCUUUUUCUAAGUAAAUAGAAAGCAAGUAGAGAUGCUAGAUGCAAACAAACUUUAGCAAACAAACACAUUAAAUCCUAGGCUAGAGAAGGUUCCCGUUGAGUAAAACGGAGGUGAGGGGUGCAUAACACCUUUCCCUCACUUAACUGACUCCCAAACCCAUAUUUGAUUGUGAUGAUCGUCUUAUCAUUUCCUUUAGGGUUUUAUCAUAAUUUCUCCUAUUCCUUAGGAAUGAAUAAAAUAUGGUGGCGACUCUGUGAUUUUUUCCUCCGCGACUUCUUGUAUCAAAUGGAUGUUAAGAGUGCAUUUCUGAAUGGUUACAUAACUGAAGAAGUGUAUGUACACCAACCUCCUGGUUUUUAAAAUUAUAAAAACCAAAUUUUGUUUUCAAACUUAAGAAAUAUUUGUACAGUCUGAAACAAGCUCUUAGAGCAUGGUAUGAAAGACUAAGCAAUUUUCUUUUAGAAAAUGAUUUUACCAGAUUGAAGGUUAAUAUAACUUUAUUAUGUAAAUCAUUCAAAAAUGAUAAUCUUGUUGUUCAAAUUUAUGUGGACGAUAUCAUAUUUGGUUUUGCUAAUGCUACUUUAUGUAAGGAAUUUGCUAAGUAAAUGCAAGUAGAGUUUGAAAUGAGUCUGAUGGGAGAACUCAAGUUCUUUAUGAAGGAGAAUUUGCGACCCAAAGCGCAGCGGAAAUUAAAAUUUUCUCCUUUAGAGAUCCUUACGAAUGGUCAUGAUCAGUGAUAGAAUAUUUACCUCUUGUGACGACUGAAACCUUUGGUGCAGAUCUCAUUGUGACGAUCAAACCUUUGAUGCAGAUCCACAGACGAUCACGAACGUUGAACGAUGACAACGUCUCUACUCAGUC
rnacentral:lncRNA from 1 species